rnacentral:rRNA from 1 species
GAUUAUGGCUCAGGAUGAACGCUGGCGGCGUGCCUAACACAUGCAAGUCGAGCGAUUCUCUUCGGAGAAGAGCGGCGGACGGGUGAGUAACGCGUGGGUAACCUGCCUCAUACACAUGGAUAACAUACCGAAAGGUAUGCUAAUACAGGAUAAUAUAAGAGAUUCACAUGGAUUUCUUAUCAAAGCUCCGGCGGUAUGAGAUGGACCCGCGUCUGAUUAGCUAGUUGGUAAGGUAACGGCUUACCAAGGCGACGAUCAGUAGCCGACCUGAGAGGGUGAUCGGCCACAUUGGAACUGAGACACGGUCCAAACUCCUACGGGAGGCAGCAGUGUGGAAUAUUGCACAAUGGGCGAAAGCCUGAUGCAAGCAACGCCGCGUGAGUGAUGAAGGCCUUCGGGUCGUAAAACUCUGUCCUCAAGGAAGAUAAUGACGGUACUUGAGGAGGAAGCCCCGGCUAACUACGUGCCAGCAGCAGC